GAACUGAAGAGUUUGAUCAUGGCUCAGAUUGAACGCUGGCGGCAGGCCUAACACAUGCAAGUCGAGCGGAUGAAGGGAGCUUGCUCCUGGAUUCAGCGGCGGACGGGUGAGUAAUGCCUAGGAAUCUGCCUG
rnacentral:rRNA from 2 species